rnacentral:rRNA from 1 species
AGAGUUUGAUCCUGGCUCAGAGCGAACGCUGGCGGCAGGCCUAACACAUGCAAGUCGAACGGACCCUUCGGGGUUAGUGGCGGACGGGUGAGUAACACGUGGGAACGUGCCUUUAGGUUCGGAAUAGCUCCUGGAAACGGGUGGCAAUGCCGAAUGUGCCCUUCGGGGGAAAGAUUUAUCGCCUUUAGAGCGGCCCGCGUCUGAUUAGCUAGUUGGUGGGGUAAUGGCCCACCAAGGCUACGAUCAGUAGCUGGUCUGAGAGGAUGACCAGCCACAUUGGGACUGAGACACGGCCCAAACUCCUACGGGAGGCAGCAGUGGGGAAUCUUGCGCAAUGGGCGAAAGCCUGACGCAGCCAUGCCGCGUGUAUGAUGAAGGUCUUAGGAUUGUAAAAUACUUUCACCGGUGAAGAUAAUGACUGUAGCCGGAGAAGAAGCCCCGGCUAACUUCGUGCCAGCAGCCGCGGUAAUACGAAGGGGGCUAGCGUUGCUCGGAAUUACUGGGCGUAAAGGGAGCGUAGGCGGACAUUUAAGUCAGAGGUGAAAUCCCGGAGCUUAACUUCGGAACUGCCUUUGAUACUGGGUGUCUUGAGUGUGAGAGAGGUAUGUGGAACUCCGAGUGUAGAGGUGAAAUUCGUAGAUAUUCGGAAGAACACCAGUGGCGAAGGCGACAUACUGGCUCAUUACUGACGCUGAGGCUCGAAAGCGUGGGGAGCAAACAGGAUUAGAUACC